CACGUAGGGUGCGAGCGUUGUCCGGAAUUAUUGGGCGUAAAGAGCUCGUAGGCGGUGUGUCGCGUCGGCCGUGAAAACUUGCAGCUUAACUGUGGGCGUGCGGUCGAUACGGGCAUCACUGGAGUUCGGCAGGGGAGACUGGAAUGCCUGGUGUAGCGGUGAAAUGCGCAGAUAUCAGGAGGAACACCGGUGGCGAAGGCGGGUCUCUGGGCCGAUACUGACGCUGAGGAGCGAAAGCGUGGGGAGCGAACAGG
rnacentral:rRNA from 1 species